UGUUGAGUCACAACUUGCUUCUCGCCACUGUGUUUGGCGGUUCGAGGCUUUCCAAGAUAAGCGCAAGAUAACCAGUUUCCCCAGAGCUGUCUUUGGCAUGUGUUACGUUCAUAGGCACGCUCGACAAAAAUAUAGACGUAGUUUAUACAAUGCUCCAAAAAAAACAACACUUGGUGUCAAUACGCCCUUUCUGAUACAGCCGUUUAUAUUCAAACCAUAUAACCGAAAUGUGGCGAAUUGUAAUUUCAUCCUGUAUACAGAGGAAAAUUUUAAAUCUCAGUGUGUGUUGACACCGCUCAUAGCAACAGUUAGCUUAUGUCGCUAGCUUAGCAACAGCGUUACCCGUGUGUUUGCGCAUGCGUGCGAGCUCCCAGCAUGCCCCCUCCCUUCCGCGUGUUUGCCUUUAAAAUGAUUGGUCGACAAGCAGGAAGUAACCGCCAUGCACGGCUUGACAGCGCCUCCACGCAAUUGAUGGCCAUUGUCUUUGUGUCCUCUCCCCACCCCCGCUGCUGCCUCUCAGUGGACGGGGAGCCUGACGCCGCGAGCUCGGCCUGCCUCCAGGUUGCAGUCCCGGGACACCGAAGCCCGACUCCCACUUUCACGCGUGAGCCGAAGAAAUCGCACGAUGUGGAGGAUGACGAGAAGGAAAAGUAAAAGAUUGAUCUCCAUCGGAACGAGCAGAGUGAGGAGGAGGGCGAUGGGCUUUGGAAUUGGGACGCUUGUCAAUAUUGCGGCGUGGGUCACGUUCGCGCCCCCCGACGGCAUUUGCGCGCAAACAGCGCUCCCUCCCGAGUGCGCCCCAGGGGGCCACGGGCUCCUGCAGAACCCUCACCGCAGCACCACCUUCAGCUCCAGCCGGCUGCAGCAGUCGUCGCUGCGGGAUUUCGUCUGUGACCAUUCCCUGGCACGUGGCUGGUACCGGUUCCAGAUUUUCGACAAGCCGGCCAGCAUGCCCACCCGGUGUGUGGAGGUCAACCACUGCGGGACUCAGGCUCCGGUGUGGCUGUCUCUGGGGGAAGGCGAGUCCCUGCCGGGCCCUCUGGAAAUCCGCCACCUGACCGCCUGCGCCGCCUGGCAGUCGUACCCGAGCGGGAGCAAGGAAUGCUGCCUGUUCCGCAUCCCCGUGUCCGUGCGCAACUGCGGGGACUUCUACGUUUACUUGCUGCAGCCCACUCAGGGAUGCAUGGGCUACUGUGCACAAGAAAUGGCAGACACGCCUUCUCCGACGUCGCUUCCCUGCAACAUGGACGGAACGUGUACACAAAUCAAGGAGCCUUCCGCUCCAUCAGUACCCACGAUCGCCGCCAAGUGGACGGAUGAUGACGUACAUCUGAAGUGCAGCUUCUCCACGGACAAAUCUGGCGGCUCCCUCGGCCACGUGGUGGCCUGGUCCCGAGCCUCCCCUCAGGGCAACCGGGAGGAACUUAAGCAGGAGACCACCAUACAGACGUGGGCCCUCAUCGAGCUGGAUGGCUUCAACCUCCGUCUGGGAGACAAGAUUUACUGCUCAGUGUACAGUUUCUUCCUGGACUCUCCGGACAUCCGCGGUGCUUCUGUGGAAAGCCAGGAGUUCUUUGCAGGGAUUCGGCUGAGACCCGAGGUGAGCGUCGUUUCCGAGGACGGGAAGCAGUACGAGCUGGCGGUCGAGAGCACCGUUCCCGUUCCGUGUCUGGAACAGUCGUCGUCGUCGACUUCGCCGUCGGGCCAAUGCGCCGUCUCCUUGACGUUCAGCACUCACAGCCAAGACGAAGCGGUGCUGGGCUCCGACGUGUCCCUGUCCUCGUGCUCUGUGAACUUGACCGGGACACCGUGCCAGGACGGAGUAUGCGGCCGAGCUGUGGUCCAUUUCACCGCCAUCACCGACGUCGUCAGAGACGGCAAUCGAACCACUAACAUCUCCGUCCGGCCCCUUGUCACUAGGAAUUUUGUGUGGAACGGUUACGCACCGGAACCUGUUCAGCUCAAAGUGCAGGACGUGCCUUCAGCGUAUUGUUACUCCUUCACCGACCCUCACAUCGUCACAUUUGACGGCAGGCGUUACGACAACUACCAGGUGGGCACGUUCGUGCUGUACAGGAGUGCUCGCUGGCCAUUUGAGGUCCACGUGCGGCAGCGGGAGUGCGGGGGUAGCGGGGCGGCCCCCACCGCGUGCGCCUGCGGCGUGGCAGCCCGGGACGGCGACGACGUGGUCACCUUGGAUAUGUGUAACGGCGACACGGGCCAAACCAAACCUCGCCUCGCUGUGAAGACGCGGGACCUCAGCAAGAGCGGCGUGCGCGCCCACGAGGCCUAUCAGGGGCGCAAAGUCACCCUGACCUUCCCAUCCGGAGCCUUGGUACGCGCCGACGUGGCCGACUGGGGUCUGAGUCUGACGCUGAGAGCCCCCGGUUCAGACAGGGGUCACACCGAGGGCCUGUGCGGCACCUACGACGGACAACCCGACAAUGACUUGCGGCUCUCUAUGGAAACAAGUGGGGAGGAUCUGCAGGCUUUUAUCUCUCAUUGGAGGCUUCGUCCAAGAAGCAGCCUGUUCGAUGAAGUACGACCAAAAUCAUUGUCGCCUCCGAAUGGACUCAGUUCCCACAAAUUCUGUGACUGUACAUUAUCGCCUCGGAGCGGAACGCUCCCCGAAGCCUCGACGGACGGCGGCUGUUCUCGUCACAGUAACGUGCGCUUCCCCGCUGUCAUCCCCUCUCUGGAUGUCACGGCCGAGUACAUCAGUUCGGUGGAGUUGCUUGCUGGGGAAGAAGGAGCAGUGCUCCCUAAAGGGAUCCUGGAGAAAUUCGCCUACUUUUUCCCCGAAGACCAUAAACCUGACACCGGCUUAGACCUCGAUCUUACGUGGCCGACGCCUUCCGGGUUGACGGAAAGUGAGGCACGAAACCAGUGUCGGGCCGCCAUCACCAACUCCAGCCUGGCCCGGAAUUGCGGAGGGAUGCUGGGAACCGACGUGGUGGGCGGAGCGGUGGAAAUGUGUGUCGGCGAUCUGAGACGGAAGGACGAGCGGUCGUGGCUGGAGGCCGCUCUGCCCCUGCUGGAGAACGAGUGUGAGAGACGGCUGGUGGAGGAAGGUCCGCUGGCGGCGCUCCGCCGUGAUCGCGGGGACCGCGUGGACGCCGUGGCUAUACUCAAGUGUCCCAAUCUGUGCAACGGAAAUGGCCAGUGCUUAGACUGGGGAUGUGUCUGCUUCCCCGGCUUUGGAUCCUACGACUGCAGCGUCUUGUCUGACCACACUCCGGAGAUCACGGAUCUGGAGACGGGGGGUCUGUGUGACGUCCGGGGCGGCGACUGCUCCAACGUCCACGUCUCCGGCCUGGGCUUCGAGGACGGCCCCAAGAUCACGUGUGAGUUUGUGAAAGAAAAGUUGGUGGCAAGCGAGUGGGUUGUGGCUGAGCCUCGGUUGGUCCCUGCCACCUUUGUGAACGCGACGGCUAUUGAGUGUCGGCUCCCCCUGGAAGUUGCUCAGCCCACUGCAGGCUUCGACUCGAAUGAAACGUCAACAAAGCGGCCGUUCUUGGCUCGCUGGCAGGUCAAAGUGUCCAACGACGGUUACAGCUUCAGUAACGCUAAAGUCUUGACCGUGUACGACGGAGCGUGUCAUGUGUGCGGCCUCCACACCGACCCCAUCUGCACGUUCAGGGAGAAGACGUGCAGCAUCGACGGCGUCUGUUACGACCAAGGGCGGUCGCACCCCUUCAAGCCUUGCCUCGCCUGUCGGCCGCACGCCUCCCGGCACGCUUGGACCCCACACCGUAAAAAUGAGCCCCCCUUGCUGGCGUCGCUUCCCCCGCAAGGUCUGCGCUCCUUCCAGGGGGAGGACUUUCUCUACCAAUUACGGGCCCGGGACCCCGAGGGCUCGGCGGUGGUCUUUGCACUUCGCUCGGGUCCCGAUGGCGCCUCGUUGUCUCCGUCCGGUCUCAUCCGGUGGAAGGUGACGUCCGACCACACCCACACACGCCCUUUCAACUUUAGCGUGACAGACGACUGCCUCGCCGAGACCCUCGCUUCCCUUCAUGUGUCGGUGCGUCCGUGCGAGUGCACGAACGGCGGCUCGUGCAUGAGCGCCGUCAACGUGCCCGCCGGCAGCGGUGAGUACAGCUGUGCCUGUCCCGAUGGGUUCAGAGGUCAGCGGUGCGAGGUGGACGUGGACGACUGCAAGCCCAACCCUUGCAGGCUGGGACGCUGCGUGGAUGGACCGAACUCCUUCACCUGUGUUUGCCCGCCCGGAACGACAGGCAGAACUUGUCGAGAGGACCUGGACGAGUGCUCCUCUGGGCCGUGCUUCCCCGGGGUGGACUGCGCCAACACGCCGGGCUCCUUCUCUUGUGGACCCUGCCCGAGGGGAUACGCCGGUGACGGCGCCGUUUGCAUUCCCCUGAGAGCAACGGUGACGCCGGCGAGAGUGGCGCCCAUUCCCCCGAGGUCCCGAGCCCCCCCCCCGUCACCCUCGCCCUGCUCACGGGGGCCGUGUCACCCUGGCGUGCACUGCUUCCAAAGCCCCUACGUGGCGGCGGGCUACGUCUGCGGGCCCUGCCCACCUGGUUUCCACGGCAACGGGACGACUUGCACCCUAUCAAGUGAACAAAUUCCCAACACCAGACUGAAUCCUGUCUGGCAACCGACGCCCACCAGCUUUUCCUCACCGCCAUCGUCCCCCACCUGGCCCAGACAGCACCUCGACAGAAGCAGGAAACCAGGCGCCACCGUUUCCCACGCGCGGGGAGCUUCUUCUUCCUCCUUGGAGAGAAAUCCAGGACAAUGCCCACAUGGAUACGCUGGUGAUGGAGUCACGUGUAAAGCCGCGUGCAGGUUUCAGUGCGGGAGGAAUAUGGAGUGCACGCAGCCCAACACGUGCACCUGCAAGGACGGAUACACCGGAUUUGACUGUCACAUAGCUGUGUGCCGGCCGGACUGCAAGAACCAGGGCAGAUGCGUGCGUCCUAACGUGUGCGAAUGCCCCCUGGGGUACGGCGGGCCCACCUGCGAGGAAGCAAGCUGCGAGCCGCCGUGCCAACACGGAGGCACGUGUCUGGCGAGGAACCUUUGCACCUGCUCCUACGGCUACGUGGGACCGAGAUGUCAAAUCAUGGUGUGUAACAGGCACUGCGAAAAUGGCGGCGAGUGUGUUUCUCCCGACGUGUGCAAAUGCAAACCGGGCUGGAAUGGACCUACUUGCAACUCGGCUGAGUGCAGUCCGGUCUGUCUGAAUGGAGGAACGUGCAUCAAACCAAACUUUUGUGCUUGUCCCCCCGGAUUCUACGGCUCUCAGUGUCAAAUUGACAACUUCCGCCAUUUCUUCACUUUCUUACCGCACUCACCGUUGCUCUGGAUUGUUGACCAGUCUAACCUCAUCUGUCAGCCUGUCCAUUACCACAGCAAACAGGAAGGGGCUUAGCGCUGAUCCCUGAUGCCGUCACACCUGCGGCACAUCUCACCACUGUUCUGCUGCCCUCAUACAUGUCCUGUACUAUUCUAACAUACUUCUCUACCACCCCAGACUUCCAAAUCCAGUACCCCAGUUCCUCUCUUGGUACUCUGUCAUCGGCUUUCUCUAGAUCUUGUGGCUCCCAUGUAUAUAUACAUAUAAUAUUACAACAGUAUUGUCCAAUAAUAUGGGCUUUUCCUGGCCUUAAUUCAUCUUCUCAAAUUUCACAUUGCUGUGACUUUUUUCUUAAUGAAACGACAACUUUAUUUUCACCAAAAUUCCCAAUUUGUAUUAUUACUAUGGUACUAAUGGUUAAAUGUACAGAACGUGUGUGUGUGUGGGGGGGGGGGGGUUAGCUGUGUGCAGCCCCCCUUGUAAGAACGGAGGUCAGUGCAGGAGGAACAACGUGUGUUCAUGUCCCGAAGGCUACACAGGGGAACGAUGUGAAAAGAGCGUGUGCGAGCCGGCAUGUAUGAACAGCGGGAAAUGUGUGGGAGCCAAC